rnacentral:misc_RNA from 1 species
GAGAAGAACGUAGCGAAAUGCGAUAAGUAAUGCGAAUUGCAGAAUUCCGUGAGUCAUCGAAUCUUUGAACGCACAUUGCGCCCUCUGGUAUUCCGGAGGGCAUGCCUGUCUGAGCGUCAUUGUCAACCCUCAAGCUCAGCUUGCUGUUGGGUCCCCGUCGUUGCUUUAACGGCGGACCCGAAAGGUAAUGGCAGAGUCCGUGAGACCCUAGACGCAGCGAGCUUCUAGCACGCGUCUGGACGUUUUUCGGGCUCGGUCUUAAACUAGAUGAUAACUUCCGAUUGACCUCAGAUCAGGUAGGGAUACCCGCUGAACUUAAGCAUAUCAAUAAGCGGAGGA